CCCACACAGAAGCGGCUCCGCUCCGGCUCCAUCGCCAGUGUGACUGCAUGGCCUCAGGACUUUUGCUUUGGGGCUUUAUGUGAAAAUAGGUUUGUCUCCACUUCAAUGGCUUCCUACAUGCAGGGUGUCUCUCCUAUGGAUGUCUGACCUCUCAGCGUGGCCAUGAUUUGGGUGAGUGACAGGAUGACUGCUGUUGAAAUACACCCUCUCAACUCACACUGUGGCCUGGAAGGGAUCGGAACCCAGUGGGACGAGGGCAGAGUCAGAAACAGCUCCACUAGCUACAUGACACUGCCCUUAUCUCCACAAAUAUUGACUCUGGAGGAUCAAACAAGUGGCCAAAAAACAAUAAUAUUUUCCCCUGGAGAGAAGAUCCUGUUCCAGACAGCCAGGCCCAAGUCGGGCAGACAGGCAGAGGCACGCAGCACACCUGCAGGUGAAGGUCUCUCGGGGGCCCUGCUCCAGCUCAGCGCAUCCCUCUGGAGUCGUUGAUGGUUAUGCCAGGGAAUGAGAAAAGUGGUUCAGGGUGCCAACAGGUGGUCCUGAAGAACACCAGACACCCCAUAUUCCGGAUCGGAGUGUUCAAAAUCAAGGGAUUGCUCCAAGAUGCAACGGCCCCACAGUAAGACCCAGCCCAGGUUUGGCAAACAUGGAGUGAACCCACUCUUUGGACUGGCCAUCCUGCCAGGGGCCUUCACGAGAGAGUCCACUCAAUCCUCACAGACGCCCCCAGGAGCUAGGUGGUCUCGCCCCAUUUUGCAGAUGGGGAAACUGAGGCUCCAAGUAGUGUGGUGACUCACCAGAAAGUCCCCCGUGGAUUACCUGGCAGAGCUGGCAUUGGGACCCCCAGAUAACUGACCAGGAUGAAGAGGCAGGAGUGCCAAGCAGUGACCAGCGCUCAGGGAGAGAAACCACAGAUUCGUCCAACGACCUUGAGCGAGAAGGAGCUUCCUUUCUUCAGGCCGCAGUUCUCCCAUUGAUGGAGAGAGGAACCACCCAGGCUGCCUAAGUAUAGAGUGUCGCCAAACAGAUGUAGUCUUGUUCCUCGAAAGAAAAGCUGCCGCCGGGAGGAGGGGGCAGGCCCAUCUCAUGGACGCAGUGGCCCGGCUCAGAUUUUCACAGAUGCUGCAUCCCUCUUGAAGCCUUCUUAGGGAAGCCAGUUCUGUCCCUCCUGAUCCUGGCACCCGCUCGGCCUCCUUGUGCCACUUGAUCUGCCCUCCUUCUCCAAGAAGUCUCGGGGGCACCCUGUCCAGCUCUGAGUCUCGUCCUAGAUGACCAGGAGGGUCUGCGGGGCCUGGCCAAAUGCUGGAUUGAGAAGCUGGGGCUGUUUGUCCACUUCCUUGAAGGUGGGCUGGCCUGGUGACUGGUGGACCAGGAGGAUGAGGGGGAAGUGAUGAUGUGGAACUUCUGGACGCCAAGGAGCCUUGCGACUUCCACCUGGGCCCUCAGGCCACUCAUUCUUGGGACACUCCCUCUUGAAACCCAGCCAUCAGGCUCUGAGAAGCCCAAGCCAUGUGAAGAAGCCAUAGGUAGGCGCCAUUGUUGACCACCCAUCUCAGCUGCCAGCCAGCUGGCCUCCACUGCUGGCCAGAUGAGGCAACUGAGGCUCAGAGAGGUGAAGUCACUUGCCCCAAAGGACACAGCCGGUGAGUGAGGGGUUGCACGUGAAUCCAGAUGGCCCGGCCGCAAAGCCUUUCUCUCAACUCCUCCACCAGCCUCCAGUGGUCACAUCCUCAUUCUGAAUCUUUUCUGUUGUGUCCUCUCCACUUGGUGACUUUAGAGUUGACCAACUGAAUUCAGGAACUCCUAGAGGGCAGGGCACCCCAAAGCCUGAGCCAGCAUGUGGGAAGAGGCAUUUGGUUGAGAAGUUCUGAAGACAAAGAUGAUGAUGGGGAUCAGGUCAAGUUGUAGGCCUGGCACCCACUCAGGAAGUCCCACAAAGCAGGCAGCCUGGCCCUUAGUUACCCCAGAGCAUACUUUUCACUUUUCAUCUUUUCCACAGUGGAGCUCCUCAGAUUUUCACUGUGGAGUUUCCAACUGAGGAGUCAGCUCAGAAAAGGCAGAGCUCCUCAUGCCUGUUUGUUGUUUCAAGACUCACAAAGGAGGGGGAGGCCCUGGUCUGUAGCAAUUCCUAGGGGUAUGGAUAGAGGGUAGAGGACACUUCCUCUGCUGGAGCAAUAAUCUUAUCUUUUUUGCCUCUUUCCUUCCUCCUGAAGCAACAUCUAAAACUAAAAUAAAAGCCUCCAUAAUAAAAAAGUCUGCAACCCAUGCAUGCAAGAUGAUUUUAGGUGUUACUCAAGAUGUUUAAUCAUGAUACAUGGGCAAGACAUUAAAUAACAUUAUAUGACAUGAUUCUCUUUAAAAAUUCCUCCUAUCCUUGAAAAAGUGCUCAAAUUUGCUAGUCAUCGGGGAACUGCAAAAUAAAACCACAGUGAGAGACAACUAUAUGUCCACCAGAAAAGAUGGAAAAUGCCAAGUAUUGGCAAGGAUGGAGAGCUAGUGGCACUCUCAGAUAUUGCUGAUAGGAUUGCAGACCCAUACAUUUACAUGGCAAGACUUUCUGGCUCUCUCUAUUAAAGCUGACCACAUGUACAGCCCCUGGCCCAGAAAUCCCAGGUCUAGGUAUAGACCCAACAGAGAUGUGUGCUCAUGAUCCACAAACAAUGUGUUCUAGGAGGUUCUCAGCAGCUGUGUUCACAGAAGUCAAAAACUGGAAACUCUUGGGACCGGCCCCGUGGCCGAGUGGUUAAGUUUGCGCGCUCUGUUGCGGUAGCCCAGGGUUUUGCCGGUUCGGAUCCUGGGCAUGGACAUGGCACUGCUUAUCAAGCCAUGCUGAGUUGGCAUCCCACAUGCCACACUAGAAGGACCCACAACUAAGAAUAUACAACUAUGUACCGGGGGGCUUUGGGGAGAAAAAGGAAAAAAGUAAAAUCUUUAAAAAAAACAGAACAAAACUGGAAACUCUCCAGAUGCCCAUCAACAGCAGGAUGGACAGAUAACUUGUGGUGCAGUCAAACUACGGAACAUGACCCAACAAGGAGAAAGAACCAGUAAACUAUAUGCAAGAAUAUGGAAGAAUUUCACAGACAGAAUGUUGAGCAAAAGAAGCCAGAGACAAAAAGGCUGCAUGUUGUAUGUUUUCAUUUAGGGGAAAUGCAAAAACAGGCAAAAGUCAUCCCUGGUAGUAGAUGUCAGGAUCAUGGCUACCCUUGGGGGGCGGAGGUGGUGAUGACUGGCAGGGAGCCUGAAGGGGGCUUCUGACCUUAGUGUUCUUCUUCUUCACCCAGGGACUGGUUAUAUCGGGUAGUCGAUUUGUGAACGUUUAUCAUAUGUGAUAUGUGUUUUAUCACUUAUGAUAUCAUAAAUGGUAAUGAUAAAAUAUAUCAUAAUUUUAUCAUUUAUGACAUGUGUACUUUCUUGUAUGUAUAUUACAUUUCAGUAAAAUGUUGUAAAAAAA
ensembl:lncRNA